UACGAAGGGGGCUAGCGUUGCUCGGAAUCACUGGGCGUAAAGCGCACGUAGGCGGCUUUUUAAGUCAGGGGUGAAAUCCUGGAGCUCAACUCCAGAACUGCCUUUGAUACUGGCGGUCUCGAGUCCGGGAGAGGUGAGUGGAAUUCCUAGUGUAGAGGUGAAAUUCGUAGAUAUUAGGAAGAACACCAGUGGCGAAGGCGGCUCACUGGCCCGGUACUGACGCUGAGACGCGAAAGCGUGGGGAGCGAACAGG
rnacentral:rRNA from 1 species